UACGGAGGGUGCAAGCGUUAUCCGGAUUCACUGGGUUUAAAGGGAGCGUAGGUGGGCUGGUAAGUCAGUGGUGAAAUCUCCGGGCUUAACUCGGAAACUGCCGUUGAUACUAUCAGUCUUGAAUAUUGUGGAGGUAAGCGGAAUAUGUCAUGUAGCGGUGAAAUGCUUAGAUAUGACAUAGAACACCAAUUGCGAAGGCAGCUUACUACCCGAAUAUUGACACUGAGGCACGAAAGCGUGGGGAUCAAACAGG
rnacentral:rRNA from 1 species